rnacentral:rRNA from 1 species
CACGUAGGGGGCAAGCGUUGUCCGGAUUUAUUGGGCGUAAAGAGCUCGUAGGCGGCUCGGUAAGUCGGGUGUGAAAACUCGGGGCUCAACCCCGAGACGCCACUCGAUACUGCUGUGGCUAGAGUCCGGUAGGGGAGCGUGGAAUUCCUGGUGUAGCGGUGAAAUGCGCAGAUAUCAGGAGGAACACCGGUGGCGAAGGCGGCGCUCUGGGCCGGAACUGACGCUGAGGAGCGAAAGCGUGGGGAGCAAACAGG